rnacentral:rRNA from 1 species
UCCGAUUCCAAGACUGCUGAGCUUCGACUCAUCGAUUUUGGUUGCGCGACCAUGGAUGAUGAGAGCAACAUGGAGCAUUCCACGUUCGCGGGGA